UGGGGAAUAUUGCACAAUGGGCGCAAGCCUGAUGCAGCCAUGCCGCGUGUAUGAAGAAGGCCUUCGGGUUGUAAAGUACUUUCAGCGGGGAGGAAGGGAGUAAAGUUAAUACCUUUGCUCAUUGACGUUACCCGCAGAAGAAGCACCGGCUAACUCCGUGCCAGCGGCCGCGGUAAUACGGAGGGUGCAAGCGUUAAUCGGAAUUACUGGGCGUAAAGCGCACGCAGGCGGUUUGGUAAGUCAGAUGUGAAAUCCCCGGGCUCAACCUGGGAACUGCAUCUGAUACUGGCAAGCUUGAGUCUCGUAGAGGGGGGUAGAAUUCCAGGUGUAGCGGUGAAAUGCGUAGAGAUCUGGAGGAAUACCGGUGGCGAAGGCGGCCCCCUGGACGAAGACUGACGCUCAGGUGCGAAAGCGUGGGGAGCAAACA
rnacentral:rRNA from 1 species